UACGAAGGGGGCUAGCGUUGUCCGGAUUUAUUGGGCGUAAAGAGCGUGUAGGCGGCCAGGUAGGUCUGGUGUGAAAACUCGAGGCUUAACCUCGAGAUGUCAUCGGAAACCAUCUGGCUAGAGUCCGGAAGAGGAGAGUGGAAUUCCUGGUGUAGCGGUGAAAUGCGCAGAUAUCAGGAAGAACACCAAUGGCGAAAGCAGCUCUCUGGGACGGUACUGACGCUGAGACGCGAAAGCGUGGGGAGCGAACAGG
rnacentral:rRNA from 1 species